rnacentral:rRNA from 1 species
UACGAGCUAAGCUUAAAACCCAAAGGACUUGACGGUACCCCAUAUCCCCCUAGAGGAGCCUGUCCUAUAAUCGAUAACCCCCGUUUAACCUCACCAUUUUUUGCCAGUCAGCCUGUAUACCUCCGUCGUCAGCUUACCACGUGAGCGUCAGUGAGCCUAAUGUUUCUCCAACUACACGUCAGGUCAAGGUGCAACAUAUAAAAUGGGAAGAGAUGGGCUACACUUUCUACCAUAGAAUAAACGAAAGACUAAAUGAAACCUAGUCAGAAGGCGGAUUUAGCAGUAAAAUGAAACUAGAGCGUUCACUUAAAUGCGGCACUGGGGUGUGUACACACCGCCCGUCACCCUCCUCAAACUCUGCAUAAAAGUUUUUAACACCUUCCAAGAGACUCAGAAGAGGCAAGUCCGUAACACGGUAAG